AAAGUCGUCGAUGGUGCGCUCGAAGUCGUACGGGUUGCUCUCCGGCAUGCGAUCCUGGAGUUCGGAGAACUGCAGCAUGAGGUACUGGCGCAGGACGGGAACGGAG
rnacentral:SRP_RNA from 15 species